rnacentral:rRNA from 1 species
AGUGAACGCUGGCGGUAGGCCUAACACAUGCAAGUCGAACGGCAGCACAGUAAGAGCUUGCUCUUACGGGUGGCGAGUGGCGGACGGGUGAGGAAUACAUCGGAAUCUACUUUUUCGUGGGGGAUAACGUAGGGAAACUUACGCUAAUACCGCAUACGACCUACGGGUGAAAGCAGGGGAUCUUCGGACCUUGCGCGAUUGAAUGAGCCGAUGUCGGAUUAGCUAGUUGGCGGGGUAAAGGCCCACCAAGGCGACGAUCCGUAGCUGGUCUGAGAGGAUGAUCAGCCACACUGGAACUGAGACACGGUCCAGACUCCUACGGGAGGCAGCAGUGGGGACUAUUGGACACUGGGCGAAAGCCUGAUCCAGCCAUACCGCGUGCGUGCAGAAGGACUUCGGGUUGUAAAGACCUUUUGUUGGGAAAGAAAAGCAGCAGGUUAAUACCCCGCUGUUCUGACGGUACACAAAGAAUAAGCACCGGCUAACUUCGUG